AUUUUCCUCCAAAGAAUUUAUUAUAAAGUUGUCUGACAAUGAUAGAGAAACUGGAAGCUCUAGUACCAGGAGUCAUUUGCAUAAUACAAGGACUUAUAAGAUUACUGGGAUAUCGACAGAGCCACUGAACAAAUUAAUGUUUACUCUUGAUGAUACAGAUUUCAGUUGCUGCUUACUUUCAAGACAAGUACAAAAUCAAACUCAGAUAUGUGACAUGGCCUGCUCUGCAAGCAGGAAAUGCAGCAAAGCCUAUUUACUUACCCAUGGAGGUUUGUACAAUUGUUGAGGGGCAAAGAUACUCUAAGAAACUCAAUGAAAGGCAAGUAACCAAUCUAUUGAGGGCAACCUGUCAAAGACCAAACGACAGGGAAGAAAGCAUUUGGCGAAUUGUUAAGCAGAACAAAUACAGUGAUCAGGAACUUGUCCAGGAUUUUGGAAUUAGUGUUGCAAACAAUUUGACAAUGGUUGAUGCUCGAGUUUUGCCUCCACCAGUGCUUUUCUACAGAGGUGCUGGGAGGGAGGCUACUGAGCAUCCUCGAUUUGGGCAAUGGAAUAUGUCCAAUAAAAAAAUGAUCAAUGGAGGCCAAGUUGAGUUUUGGACAUGUGUGAACUUCUCGCGUAUCAAUUCAGAUAUUCAUGAUCGCUUUUGUUCAGAAUUGGUCAGUACUUGGCUCAAUAGGGGAAUGGCCUUCCAAACUAGACCAGUAAUUCCCUGCAACGCUUGGCCAGCUAACCAAAUUGAGAGGGCUUUGAGAUCUAUUCAUGAGCAAUGCAAGAAGAUACUUAUCAACAAACAACUACAGUUGUUAAUAGUUAUCUUGCCUGAUUCUGGUGGUUCAUAUGGACCUUGAUCAAGACUCCAAAUGCAGCUCACGGAUAGGGCUAUGGACGGGGUUGGAGGGCUCGGGCUUGCGGAGGAUCGUGGAUGGCUCGGUCUCACGGAGAGGUCAUGGGUCAAAACUUGAAAAGCAGGAAAACCUCGCUGAACCCAUUAUUUUCAUGUUUCUGUGCCACAUCAGGGGGUAUUCUAGACAGAGCUGUUGAAGCAGAGGAUAAGAAACAUGGAGAUAUUCUAAGACUGGACCAUUUCAGCUCAAGAUCUGUCCCAUUUUUCAGAUAUGAUGAUCCCAGGAGAGGAUUCAGUUCCUGUUCUUUUGACUCUUGCAGUGAAAUAUCUCUCAGAUUGUCCUGCUGCCCUACAACAGUUACUG